AUUUAAGAUAUCAAGAACUAUCAGUGGUAAGAAUGUGAUGCAUAUGAUAUUGGUACAGAUGUUUUCUUGAUGCAAGAAAGGAAACUCGUUACUUUCUUCAUUGAGAAAAUAUGUGAGCAAUUUUAAACUACCUAACGUGUGACAAUGAGUUGUAUGCUUUGGUUCGAGUUUUGCAAAUUUGGCAACACUAUUUUUGGCGUAAGGAAUUUGUCAUCCACACGGAUCAUGAGUCUUUCAAACAUUUUAAAGGCCAGCAAAAGCUGAACAAAAGACAUGCUAGGUGGGUUAUGUUCAUAGAAGCAUUUUCUUAUGUCAUCCGCUACCAAAAACAUUGGGUGAUGAUUAUAUGUGAAUUUAUCUACGCCUGAAUCAUCUUCAUCUAAGGUAAAAGUGUCAAAGCUUCACAAGAGAAAGCAUCAGAUGACUGCGUGCGUUAUUCAUGGACAUGAAGCACAAGGAGACAGAGCCAGCAGAGAGACGUUCAAAAGGAUUGCUCACUAAAGCCGACACAAGCUAAAUACGGAUGGUGACUUGCUCUUGUUUCUCUCAAUCUUGUGACAUUGGCAACUGACUUUCUGUAACUCAUUUCCUUGUAUGAAUGAAUCUACUCUCAGCAGAAUGCUUUGAUUGUCUCACAAGCUGUUUAUAAGGGCUUUAUGGAUUUGUAAAUAAUUCUCAGAUUUAAUCCAGAGUCUGUCCUUGAAUACAAACGAUC